CAAGACGUAGCUUAGUCAAAGCAUCCGGCUUACACCCGGAAGACUUCACCUUCCAUGAACGUCUUGA
rnacentral:tRNA from 1 species